AAUACAAACUGUGUAAUAUAAAUUUCUUAGAAGUAAUUAAUAGAUAAUUAUUUAAUUUAAAUGGGAAUUUUUAGGUGAAAUUUUAAUUUUCUGGUAGGUUAAUUGUUGUUUUUAUGAAGUUAGGAAAUCUAUUUAAAGACUAGGAUUAGAUACCCUAUUAUUUUAGAUGUAAUUUUAAAGACUAGACUAGUAAAAGUUAUGUUCUCGAAAAUAAAAGAAUUUGGCGGUAUUUUAGCCUGAUCAGAGGAACCUGCCCUGUAAUCGAUAAUCCACGAUUUUAGUUACUUUUAUUAAUAAUUUUCAUAUCGUUGUAGUUAUAUAUUUUUUUAGAAAUUUAAUGUUUAUAAUUUUUUAUUAAAAAAUAAAUCAAAUCAAGGUGUAGUGAUAUAAAUGUAGAGGUGGGUUACAAUAAAAUUAUUUAAACGGAGAUUUAUAUUUAAAUUUUAAAUUGAAGGUGGAUUUGAUAGUAAUUUUAUUUAUAUUUUCAAGAUGAAUAUGUUCUAGAAUAUGCACAUAUCGCCCGUCGCUUUCAUUUUAAGGUGAAAUAAGUCGUAACAAAGUAGGUUUACUGG
rnacentral:rRNA from 1 species